rnacentral:rRNA from 1 species
UACAGAGGGUGCGAGCGUUAAUCGGAAUUACUGGGCGUAAAGCGUGCGUAGACGGUAGCGUAAGUCAGAUGUGAAAGCCCCGGGCUCAACCUGGGAACUGCAUUUGAGACUGCUCUGCUCGGGUGCGGAAGAGGGAAGCGGAAUUUCCGGUGUAGCGGUGAAAUGCGUAGAUAUCGGAAGGAACAUCAGUGGCGAAAGCGGCUUCCUGGUCCAGCAUCGACGUUCAGGCACGAAAGCGUGGGGAGCAAACAGG